AGAGUUUGAUCCUGGCUCAGGAUGAACGCUGGCGGCGUGCUUAUCACAUGCAAGUCGAACGAUCCUUCGGGAUAGUGGCGGACGGGUGAGUAACGCGUGGGAAUCUGCCCUAGGAGGGGGAUAACGGCUGGAAACGGCCGCUAAUACCCCAUAUGCCGAGAGGUGAAACGAAUUUCGCCUGAGGAUGAGCCCGCGUCUGAUUAGCUAGUUGGUGGGGUAAAGGCCUACCAAGGCGACGAUCAGUAGCUGGUCUGAGAGGAUGAUCAGCCACACUGGGACUGAGACACGGCCCAGACUCCUACGGGAGGCAGCAGUGGGGAAUUUUCCGCAAUGGGCGAAAGCCUGACGGAGCAACGCCGCGUGAGGGAUGAAGGCCUCUGGGCUGUAAACCUCUUUUCUCAAGGAAGAAGAACUGACGGUACUUGAGGAAUAAGCCACGGCUAAUUCCGUGCCAGCAGCCGCGGUAAUACGGGAGUGGCAAGCGUUAUCCGGAAUUAUUGGGCGUAAAGCGUCCGCAGGCGGCCUUGUAAGUCUGUUGUUAAAGCGUGGAGCUCAACUCCAUUUAAGCAAUGGAAACUACAAGGCUGGAGUGUGGUAGGGGCAGAGGGAAUUCCCGGUGUAGCGGUGAAAUGCGUAGAUAUCGGGAAGAACACCAGUGGCGAAGGCGCUCUGCUGGGCCAUAACUGACGCUCAUGGACGAAAGCCAGGGGAGCGAAAGGGAUUAGAUACCCCUGUAGUCCUGGCCGUAAACGAUGAACACUAGGUGUCGGGGGAAUCGACCCCCUCGGUGUCGUAGCCAACGCGUUAAGUGUUCCGCCUGGGGAGUACGCACGCAAGUGUGAAACUCAAAGGAAUUGACGGGGGCCCGCACAAGCGGUGGAGUAUGUGGUUUAAUUCGAUGCAACGCGAAGAACCUUACCAGGGUUUGACAUCCUGCGAAUCCCUUGGAAACGAGGGAGUGCCUUCGGGAGCGCAGUGACAGGUGGUGCAUGGCUGUCGUCAGCUCGUGUCGUGAGAUGUUGGGUUAAGUCCCGCAACGAGCGCAACCCACGUCUUUAGUUGCCAGCAUUCAGUUGGGCACUCUAGAGAGACCGCCGGUGAUAAACCGGAGGAAGGUGUGGAUGACGUCAAGUCAUCAUGCCCCUUACAUCCUGGGCUACACACGUACUACAAUGCUACGGACAAAGGGCAGCAAGCUCGCGAGAGUUAGCAAAUCCCAUAAACCGUGGCUCAGUUCAGAUCGUAGGCUGCAACUCGCCUACGUGAAGGAGGAAUCGCUAGUAAUCGCAGGUCAGCAUACUGCGGUGAAUACGUUCCCGGGCCUUGUACACACCGCCCGUCACACCAUGGAAGUUGGCCAUGCCCGAAGUCGUUACUCCAACCCUUGUGGAGGAGGACGCCGAAGGUGGGGCUGAUGACUGGGGUGAAGUCGUAACAAGGUA
rnacentral:rRNA from 1 species